rnacentral:tRNA from 1 species
CUCUUGCCUGGGGAGCAGGCCGCUCCCUUCGCGCCCUGAGCGCGGGGGGUCAAGUCUUGCGCGUGGAUCGCUCCCACGGCACGUAGC